ACGACCCAAGACUUCCUGUGAGAUUGCUAGAGAUACUGCGAUGAAAAAAGUCAGGCUUGGAGUCUACGUCCCCACGUGUGACAACGAUGGACAAUACAAACCUGAGCAAUGUUCAGGCUCUACAGGUUACUGUUGGUGUGUGAAUAGUUCUGGACAGAAGAUCCCGGGUACUGAGACUUCACCAGGCAGUGCUAGCAACUGCUAGCAACUGUUCAACCAAGUGGAAAUAAGGCCCUGUGGUCUCAUCCAACACCAUCACCACUUUAAACUCCAAUACAUCACUACUCUUGAUUCCUACAUUGGCACUCUUUAUGCUUUCUUUACAAGAAUCUCCAAUGAUUUCAGUGUCAUGAUCUCUCUUCUUCCUGUGUCCCUCUGUCAUGACAUCUCUUCAUCUUUUCUAAUUUAAUUCUAAUUAUGGCAGCUGUGGUCCUCCAAAAACAUCAAAAUGUAAUUCCAAUAUAUACAGGAGUUCAGAGUCCAGAAUCAGAACCAUGCUACUCUGAGUAUGAAGAAUUGUUCCAGACCACAGAGGGACGAAAGACCCCUUUACUGAGUCUACAUCAUCACAUUUCACUAAAUCAUUCCCUUGUUUGCUUCAUGCAUUAUAUCAUCCUUUAAAAUAAAGUACAUGCUCUUCAUCUUUA